CAGGAAGGAAAAAAGGCGGAUGCUUACUUUUACUGCAUUGCACACACAUGAAUGUGAGUGCAAAAUUAGUCACUACCAAGAUGCAGGACAAGUUGCUUCUAAGUUCUAAUUAAUAAUGGUACUAGUGGCUGGUGGCAGGGGCGGAUCUAUUAAAGGACCUGGGUGGUCCUAGGACCACCCGGAAGCCCGAACUAGUGGCUGUGAGACCUUCGCGGACCACCCAAAUAAGGGUAUAUGGUGGAGGAGAAAACAGCGGCGACGGCUGCUCUUUUACGGCCUUCUGCAAACCAGGAGGAGAAGAAGACAACUAUCCAUUUAGUAAAACGGUGUGUUUUUGCUAUUGGUUGGAAAAUACUUUGCUGAGCCACGUGGGAGGCUUUUUAGCCUCACCAUUUUUAUUAAAAAACAAAAAAUCACGUGGGUUGCUUUGCUAUACAGUCCACUUUACCAGA